UGCAGUCGAGCGGUAGCACAGAGAGCUUGCUCUCGGGUGACGAGCGGCGGACGGGUGAGUAAUGUCUGGGAAACUGCCUGAUGGAGGGGGAUAACUACUGGAAACGGUAGCUAAUACCGCAUAAYGUCGCAAGACCAAAGUGGGGGACCUUCGGGCCUCAUGCCAUCAGAUGUGCCCAGAUGGGAUUAGCUAGUAGGUGGGGUAACGGCUCACCUAGGCGACGAUCCCUAGCUGGUCUGAGAGGAUGACCAGCCACACUGGAACUGAGACACGGUCCAGACUCCUACGGGAGGCAGCAGUGGGGAAUAUUGCACAAUGGGCGCAAGCCUGAUGCAGCCAUGCCGCGUGUGUGAAGAAGGCCUUCGGGUUGUAAAGCACUUUCAGCGGGGAGGAAGGCGUUAAGGUUAAUAACCUUGUCGAUUGACGUUACCCGCAGAAGAAGCACCGGCUAACUCCGUGCCAGCAGCCGCGGUAAUACGGAGGGUGCAAGCGUUAAUCGGAAUUACUGGGCGUAAAGCGCACGCAGGCGGUCUGUCAAGUCGGAUGUGAAAUCCCCGGGCUCAACCUGGGAACUGCAUUCGAAACUGGCAGGCUAGAGUCUUGUAGAGGGGGGUAGAAUUCCAGGUGUAGCGGUGAAAUGCGUAGAGAUCUGGAGGAAUACCGGUGGCGAAGGCGGCCCCCUGGACAAAGACUGACGCUCAGGUGCGAAAGCGUGGGGAGCAAACAGGAUUAGAUACCCUGGUAGUCCACGCCGUAAACGAUGUCGAUUUGGAGGUUGUGCCCUUGAGGCGUGGCUUCCGGAGCUAACGCGUUAAAUCGACCGCCUGGGGAGUACGGCCGCAAGGUUAAAACUCAAAUGAAUUGACGGGGGCCCGCACAAGCGGUGGAGCAUGUGGUUUAAUUCGAUGCAACGCGAAGAACCUUACCUGGUCUUGACAUCCACAGAACUUUCCAGAGAUGGAUUGGUGCCUUCGGGAACUGUGAGACAGGUGCUGCAUGGCUGUCGUCAGCUCGUGUUGUGAAAUGUUGGGUUAAGUCCCGCAACGAGCGCAACCCUUAUCCUUUGUUGCCAGCGGUUAGGCCGGGAACUCAAAGGAGACUGCCAGUGAUAAACUGGAGGAAGGUGGGGAUGACGUCAAGUCAUCAUGGCCCUUACGACCAGGGCUACACACGUGCUACAAUGGCAUAUACAAAGAGAAGCGACCUCGCGAGAGCAAGCGGACCUCAUAAAGUAUGUCGUAGUCCGGAUUGGAGUCUGCAACUCGACUCCAUGAAGUCGGAAUCGCUAGUAAUCGUAGAUCAGAAUGCUACGGUGAAUACGUUCCCGGGCCUUGUACACACCGCCCGUCACACCAUGGGAGUGGGUUGCAAAAGAAGUAGGUAGCUUAACCUUCGGGAGGGCG
rnacentral:rRNA from 1 species